rnacentral:rRNA from 1 species
GCUUACGGCCAUAUCAGCCUGGGUACGCCCGAUCUCGUCUGAUCUCGGAAGCUAAGCAGGGUCGGGCCUGGUUAGUACUUGGAUGGGAGACCGCCUGGAAAUACCAGGUGCUGUAAGCA